rnacentral:lncRNA from 1 species
UUUUGGUGCUUUAAAGUAUAAACUAACCAGAAACACAUGAUUUCAGUUUCCCAUAAAUCACAGAGGGUUUUGCCUAAGAGAAAAAUGCAUGGCGAAACACAUCACAGAUAAACAGUUUAAGGCGGUAAUCUGGUUGCACAAGUAGGUCAAGGAUUGGGGAAGGUGACAUGCAAAUUUGCAUGCAGGUGGAGCAUGUAGUGGCAUAUUAGCAUCAGCUCACAGUUGGUGAAAGACAGGAUACGAGCAAUGUUGUGUUAAGGGCCAGGAAACCUGGACUACCUGGUAACAGAUUCUGCAGAGAUUUCCGGGUGACUGAGUGGAGAGUGCAGACUCCAGGAGGUGAGUUAUCUGUGGAUUAGACUGGACUUCAUGAUAAGAGAGCAGUUUUCCCCAUGGAAGACUAGAGGCAUAGCAUCAAGAAUUGCAGCUCAGGUUGAGUGAAGACUGGGCAGAAAGGGCAGAUGUUUAGAGCUAGAAGAUUGUUUAACCCUUGCAGGUAAGAU